AUUGAACGCUGGCGGCAGGCUUAACACAUGCAAGUCGAACGGUAACAUGAAGAAGCUUGCUUCUUUGAUGACGAGUGGCGGACGGGUGAGUAAUGCUUGGGAAUCUAGCUUAUGGAGGGGGAUAACUACGGGAAACUGUAGCUAAUACCGCGUAGUAUCGAGAGAUGAAAGUGUGGGACCUUCGGGCCACAUGCCAUAGGAUGAGCCCAAGUGGGAUUAGGUAGUUGGUGAGGUAAAGGCUCACCAAGCCGACGAUCUCUAGCUGGUCUGAGAGGAUGACCAGCCACACUGGGACUGAGACACGGCCCAGACUCCUACGGGAGGCAGCAGUGGGGAAUAUUGCGCAAUGGGGGCAACCCUGACGCAGCCAUGCCGCGUGAAUGAAGAAGGCCUUCGGGUUGUAAAGUUCUUUCGGUAGCGAGGAAGGCAUUUAGUUUAAUAGACUAGGUGAUUGAC
rnacentral:rRNA from 1 species